rnacentral:rRNA from 1 species
UACGGAGGGUGCAAGCGUUAUCCGGAAUGAUUGGGCGUAAAGCGUCCGCAGGUGGCAGUUUAAGUCUGCUGUCAAAGACCGGGGCUUAACUUCGGAAAGGCAGUGGAAACUGAACAGCUAGAGUAUGGUAGGGGCAGAGGGAAUUCCUGGUGUAGCGGUGAAAUGCGUAGAGAUCAGGAAGAACAUCAGUGGCGAAGGCGCUCUGCUGGACCAUAACUGACACUGAGGGACGAAAGCGAGGGGAGCGAAUGGG